GUGGUCUUUGUGGUUAAAGAAAAGCCUUGGCUAUAAAACAGAGUAUUGCUUUUUGGAUGCAUUUUUUGCAUAUGUACAACUGAAAAGGAUAUUUUAUACGUCUGUAAAAUAGCAGCAUUAAGAACUGCCGAGACAGCGAUUUAGCUGAUAACUGAAAGCAUUUGAUGAACUGGGCCUUGAUAAAAAUUGUAUAUGAACUGGAGCACAAAUAUUUUGGUUGAUCAACAUAUUACGCAUGCCCUCAAUGGAACAUGUCUAUAAAAGGAACCCUCUGCAACUGAAUACUGUUGCUCCAAAGCAUAUGUUCAUGUUGAGUGAGAAAACACUAAGUUUCAGGUGAAACUUUGCUAUCUGAUUGUUAUUUGCAUCUUUAGGUAUGCAGUAUUCAUCCAGAGUGUCACAUGAUCUGUAUCAAGAACAAUAGUGAGACGUGGAAUACAAGACUGUCACCCACACACACACACACACACACACUUGCACAAAAAGAAUACAAAUGAAAUUCAAGUCAGCUGUGAACUGGGACCAUGCCAUAACAUGCAGAGAUACUUAGUUCAUCUUGUACAUAGCUCUGACAACUGACAUUCUCAAGGUGCUUACAUUGGCAGCACUUGGCUCUGUGUGGAUUAUCAUAUCAUCUGUAUAACACAUUAUGUCAAAAAGAGAUUUUCAAAUAUUUUCAUUGUUUGGAGUAUCUUUUAGCGGUUAUCUUAUAUUUCCUUCAGCAAGGCAUUUCUUGCCAUUUUGGCUUCAGCUAUUAAGCCUGUCACAUAAAUCGUACCUCUGAUCUUCUGCCAGCAUUGCUUUUUAAUCUCAAAUAAUAUUUUGUUUGGAAAAAGGAAUAGACUAGUUUGCUUAGAGUAUAAUUAAGCAAUCCAGUAUCUCAAAAUUUUACUUGCUGAAUGAAGAUACUAAGUAAUCUACAACAAUAGCUAAAAGUACUUAUUGUAUACAAAAAGUUAAAUGAGGUUCUGCUGUUGUGACUAUAUGAUAAAUGUCAGUUUUUGGUGGCAAUAAUUAUAUUAUCUUAACAUAUGUCAGUUUCCAGGUUUGCCAGCGAAAUGCUUGCUCAUCACAAUUGAAUAAUAUGUUAACUUGUGAGUUGCCUGUGCGGUGCAUUGGUAAUGCAGAAUGGUAUGUAAUUAAUUAUCCAUCAAUAUAGCUAGACAGAAACUUAUAUCAGACACACCAAUUAUCCUAAAACCACCCGGGUUUGUGUGAGUGUGCUAUGUAUGCAUCCAUGUGUUGGGAGUGUGUCUGUAUGUGUGCAUGUUU